AUGUUCUAUGGGCCGAAUGUGUAUGUAGGGCAGUUGAACAGUUUCAUAGAAGCACAAAAUCAGAUUCGCAGACACACCUAAACGGAGAAGUGAUCUGGAGAAGCACUGAUGAGGCUCAAAACCACUUUGCCCUUUUAAUUAUUUAACUAGUCGACUUGGAGAAGUAGCGUCGGGAUCGAUUUUAGGUAGAUCGGUGUGUGGACCCAGGUCUGUCUCUGUCUCGGGGCAGGAGUGUGAUGGCUGAGCCGGACUAUCUGGAGGGGGACUGUGAGGAGAUGAUCAAACCCAAGAAGCUGUUGAACCCAGUCAAGGGCUCCAGAAACCACCAAGACCUCCAUCGAGAACUCAUGAUGAACCAGAAGAUGGGCCUAGCUCCCCAGAACAAGCCAGAGCUCCAGAAGGUUCUGGAGCUGAGGAAGAGAGAGCAGGUUCUCAAGGCCCAGAGGGAGGAGCAGGAGGCCCACACCAAAAGGAGCGACCUGGAGAUAGAAUUAAUGAAGAGACAACAGAAACUAGAACAGCUGGAGUUGGACCAGCAGAAGGAUGAGGAGGAGCAGGAGAACACCCCUGAGUUUGUGAAGAUGAAGAGCAAUCUUAGGAGGACCAAGCAGGAGGCUAAUGGGGAGGAACGUACCACCUAGGGGCCCACGGGGGGGAAUGUUUGAGAGAGAAGGAGAGGGCAACUGUGUACAUAGAGCUGGAGUUGGACCAGCAGAAGGAUGAGGAGGAGCAGGAGAACACCCCUGAGUUUGUGAAGAUGAAGAGCAAUCUUAGGAGGACCAAGCAGGAGGCUAAUGGGGAGGAACGUACCACCUAGGGGCCCACGGGGGGGAAUGUUUGAGAGAGAAGGAGAGGGCAACUGUGUACAUAGAGGUAUGUUUGUGCAGAGUCUAUGGCACAUGUCAUCUGAGGUGGAAUUCACUUCCUGAUUCUGAUUUUUCUGACCCUGUUGAGAAAGACUACAGACAAUUGUCUGCCUACUAAAUACCAACAGUACUACAUAUCUCUUUGUCUGCUACAGCACUCACCACAGGCAGUGACCAAAGAAACGUAACCACGUCAGCUUCUCUCACCAACAGACAGACUUUGCAGAGAAGAGAAUCCCCUAUAGACUACUGACUGCUUUGUCUGCCUGCUGUAUUACUCACAUCAGCAUCUCCACUCAACACACAGACAGAGAGGAGACUUAACAUGGACACAAAACACGGAACAUGCUACACAUGGACAGUCAGCCAGUCUUCUUGGAAGCCUGAUGCAGGGACAAACAGAACCCACACAGUUUCCAUUCCCUCUCUCCUUUCUGCUCCUCUCUCUCCGGCCACAAAGUUCUCCUUCUGUUAUUGUUGUCGUUUUCAUUUUCAGAACCCAGAAUAGAAAUGCGGACACUGGAUGGACUCUUAACUGUGUUUUGUAAAAAUGCCAAAUUAAUGUGCUGUUAUUUAUGUUUGUUUGUAGUAUUUUAGCCCCAUGUAGGGAGUGUGUGAGACAUCUAUUUAGUUUUACAGGUCAAUGUGUGGAACCUGAGCAGGACAGGACGAGUGUUUGUGUGAAAAAACACCCAGGUUACUUUUUUAUUUUUUAUCUCCAACAUACCACUUCCUCAGCUAAUGCUAUUUGAAGCAAUACUAGAAUCCCUUUCAAGUGUGAGACUUUUCUUUCUAUAAUUAUAAUGGUUUCUAUAUUUUUUUUUUGUAUGAAUAAAAGUGACAGUAAAUCAGU